rnacentral:lncRNA from 1 species
UUAUCUUCUGGCUAUUGGUUUUUGAGAGAAAAGUAACGAGAGAAAGUCUCUCUACAGCUAGGGUUUCCAUAUUUGUUUUUUUAUCUCCCAAAUUCUUGAUUUGCAAACUGCGACCUGUAACGUUUAGCAUCUGUUUUGUGACAUUCUGAGGAAUAUUUGUAAGAACGAGAGGGUUCUUCAGAGUUGUUAUUUUCAGAGGGGUUUUGAGAAGAUUCUCGGUGAUUCUUCAUAGAUCAGUUGUUUGUUUUUGAUUGAUAAUUGUUCUUUUGCUAUCUCUAUGUAUUGGCUAAAUUCUUGUAACCUUCGUUGCCAUUUUGGCCUAUUUAGUGCAACCGAGCAUAAUUUGAUUUAUUGGAUGCUCAAUGAGGAAUGUAGACGUUCGAAGUGGUAGCCAAACCUUCUGGACUUGGGCCAAAUUAAUUCUCGUGUUUAAUCUUUAAAUUCAGCUCAUUUACUUUCUGUAAAAUCAUUUUAUUUUGUUUCUUGACACUAAUAUUGUGUGAACUUGGUCUUACACACAGGGAUCCUAAUUUUUAGGAAUUAUUGUCC